GGAGGGCUCGCCUAGUGGCCGAUGGCGGCGGUCUUGAAAACCGCUAUGGGGUUAUACCCAUCAAGGGUUCGAAUCCCUUGCCCUCCG
rnacentral:tRNA from 1 species